GCACGGGUUUGUCUGAAAUAUAUUGAAAAAGGAAUGAGCAAUUUUUCUUGCGAGUGAAACAGAGACCAAGAAUUGUGUGGAAAUAUCAAGAAAUUCGUGUGGAUAAUAUGGAAGGGAUCUUUCGAGGGUACUUAUCGUUGGUUACUUUUCAGGAAUUGGAAAAAAUCUUGUAACGAGAAAUCCUUCAUCUUGUGGGAAGCCAGCGGAGCAAAAGUCUUGCGCGGAGGACAAAAUUCAUUCGCAGUCACCGCCUACGACAAUUGGUUAAACCUUUUUUGAACCUAAAAAGCAAAUCUGCGAGAAAAAUAGGAUGAUUUGAAGAAUGAUACUAAAAAAUAUUGUUUUUGCUGAGUUGCGACGACGCAAACUUCAAUAUCAUCUCAAGAGGUAAGAUGGAAGUGGCUUGUAUGACUCACUGAUAGAGUCGAGCGGCAAAGUCGUGUUGGUAAAUAUACAAGCAAGACGACCUAUGCACACGAAUAUAUAUAUAUACGUGGUCGAAUACACAUAUAUGAUGCUCAAACAUAAACUGGAUUUGUCUAUAAAAAGCAUAUGCCGUCUGCUCACCGGGCGCAGCGUUAUGUAAUCUUUUAAUGGCUAUGGUGCCUCGAGAAAUGCAGCUUGAGAAUGAAAAUUUUAUUUCCUACGUAUCAUGCAAAGAGAAAAAAAAGAGUUGAACAAAUUUGUCUAAUCGUUUUAUCGCUCUUGCUAAUUUUUACUAAUUUUUAUAAAUUGUUUGAUUGAAUUCUGUUGUUUCAACGAACGUUAAUGCUAUAUUCUAGUUACAUUUUUUUCAACAAAAAUAUGUAUUUUCAUCCACAUUGAGACAGAAUUAUCAUAAUUUUUAUUAUUAAAGAUUUUCCAACUAAAAGUUGCAUGAACAUAAUUUUUUCUUUAAUACACAACCGUAUCAGCUGACUCGUCUGUCUUAUAACACGGAAUUAUUCAUAGCAAGGUCAUAAAAGCCAGCACGUUCUGCAUUCUUGUUUGAAAGCAUGAAACCAUAUUGCAGCUCCAUGAAAAUCUAUAAUUCCGAGCGAAUAUUAAAAAUCGAAUUUAUUUUUCCAGUUUCCACGUUCCAGCAAAGAUCUUACUCGUAAUUCCGUGUUGGAAAAAUAUUUCGAAUUUUGAAUGUACGAUUGGUGACGAAAUUCUAAUUCGCCAGAAAAAUGUUUAUUUGUAACUAGUUUAUAAUUAUCCAAUUGUUUUCAAAAAUAAAAUUCGGCGUGUU